rnacentral:rRNA from 1 species
CCUACGGGAGGCUGCAGUCGAGAAUCAUUCACAAUGGGGGAAACCCUGAUGGUGCGACGCCGCGUGGGGGAAUGAAGGUCUUCGGAUUGUAAACCCCUGUCAUGUGGGAGCAAAUUAAAAAGAUAGUACCACAAGAGGAAGAGACGGCUAACUCUGUGCCAGCAGCCGCGGUAAUACAGAGGUCUCAAGCGUUGUUCGGAAUCACUGGGCGUAAAGCGUGCGUAGGCUGUUUCGUAAGUCGUGUGUGAAAGGCGCGGGCUCAACCCGCGGACGGCACAUGAGACUGCGAGACUAGAGUAAGGGAGGGGGAACCGGAAUUCUCGGUGUAGCAGUGAAAUGCGUAGAUAUCGAGAGGAACACUCGUGGCGAAGGCGGGUUCCUGGACAUUAACUGACGCUGAGGCACGAAGGCCAGGGGAGCGAAAGGGAUUAGAUACCCCUGUAGUC